rnacentral:lncRNA from 1 species
UAGUACAUGUUAUAAAUCCAUCUGCAUUAUCAAUAAACCAAACAAUAACUAUCACCCUUUUCACCAGCCUGUUGGUAUAUAUGGGGGCUCAUAGGGAUGCCCUCGCUACAUGUGAACCCUUUCAUUUAUCAUUCUCAAUUAUAGGUCGUCUUCAUACCCCAUCCGGUAUAAGCGCCAAUUUACCAAACCUCAAUACCCUGUCCGGUAUGAGCGUGAAGCAGGCUGUCCCCAUACCCCGUCCGGUAUGAGCACCAAAUUAUCAAGUCUCCAUACCCCGUCUGGUAUGAGACAACGUUCACGGUAGGGUUCCC